ACUUCCUAAGCCGGAACGAAAAGUUGUGUAGUAGCAAUACUGCAAAACUUUUGGCUUUGUGGUUGUGAUGUUGUGUUUGCAAGUUGUCUGGAAAUUCCAGACUUUGUAGCUGAUGCUACUGUUUUUUUUCACUUCCUGU
rnacentral:sRNA from 2 species